rnacentral:rRNA from 1 species
GACGAACGCUGGCGGCGUGCCUAAUACAUGCAAGUAGAACGCUGAAGGAGGAGCUUGCUUCUCUGGAUGAGUUGCGAACGGGUGAGUAACGCGUAGGUAACCUGCCCGGUAGCGGGGGAUAACUAUUGGAAACGAUAGCUAAUACCGCAUAAAGUGGAUGUUGCAUGACAUUUGCUUAAAAGGUGCACUUGCAUCACUACCAGAUGGACCUGCGUUGUAUUAGCUAGUUGGUGGGGUAACGGCUCACCAAGGCGACGAUACAUAGCCGACCUGAGAGGGUGAUCGGCCACACUGGGACUGAGACACGGCCCAGACUCCUACGGGAGGCAGCAGUAGCUAAUCUUCGGCAAUGGACGGAAGUCUGACCUGAGCAACGCCGCGUGAGUGAAGAAGGUUUUCGGAUCGUAAAGCUCUGUUGUAAGAGAAGAACGAGUGUGAGAGU